rnacentral:rRNA from 1 species
GACGAACGCUGGCGGCGUGCCUAAUACAUGCAAGUCGAACGCUGAAGGAGGAGCUUGCUUCUCUGGAUGAGUUGCGAACGGGUGAGUAACGCGUAGGUAACCUGCCUGGUAGCGGGGGAUAACUAUUGGAAACGAUAGCUAAUACCGCAUAAUAUUGACUAUUGCAUGAUAGUCAGUUGAAAGGUGCAACUGCACCACUACCAGAUGGACCUGCGUUGUAUUAGCUAGUUGGUGGGGUAACGGCUCACCAAGGCGACGAUACAUAGCCGACCUGAGAGGGUGAUCGGCCACACUGGGACUGAGACACGGCCCAGACUCCUACGGGAGGCAGCAGGAGGGAAUCUUCGGCAAUGGACGGAAGUCUGACCGAGCAACGCCGCGUGAGUGAAGAAGGGUUUCGGAUCGUAAAGCUCUGUUGUAAGAGAAGAACGAGUGUGAGAGUGGAAAGCUCACACUGUGACGGUAGCUUACCAGAAAGGGACGGCUAACUACGUG